AUUGAACGCUGGCGGCAGGCCUAACACAUGCAAGUCGAACGAGUGGCGGACGGGUGAGUAAUGUCUGGGAAACUGCCCGAUGGAGGGGGAUAACUACUGGAAACGGUAGCUAAUACCGCAUACCAUCGGAUGUGCCCAGAUGGGGUUAGCUUGUAGGUGAGGUAACGGCUCACCUAGGCGACGAUCCCUAGCUGGGCUGAGAGGAUGACCAGCGCCACUGGAACUGAGACAGGGUGCAGACUCCUGCGGGAGGCAGCAGUGGGGAAUAUUGCACACGGUGCGCAAGCCUGAUGCAGCCAUGCCGCGUGUAUGAAGAAGGCCUUCGGGUUGUAAAGUACUUCCGCGGGGAGGCUUUACCCGCCGAAGAAGCACCGGCUAACUCCGUGCCAGCGGCCGCGGUAUUC
rnacentral:rRNA from 1 species